AUUGAACGCUGGCGGCAUGCCUAACACAUGCAAGUCGAACGACAGCACGGGGGCUUGCCCCUGGUGGCGAGUGGCGCACGGGGGAGUAAUACACGUGGACAUGUCCUCUAGUGGGGGGUAGCCCCGCGAAAGCCGGGUUAAUACCGCAUACGAUUCUCUGGAGACAGCGGGGGACCUUCUGGCCUCGCGCUUUAGGGUUGGCCGAUGGCGGAUUAGCUAGUUGGUGGGGUAAAGGCCUACCAAGGCCACGAUCAGUAGCUGGUCUGAGAGGGCGAUCAGCCACACUGGAACUGAGACACGGCCCAGACUCCUACGGGAGGCAGCAGUGGGGAAUCUUCGACAAUGGGCGAAAGCCUGAUGCAGCAAUGCCGCGUGUGUGAAGAAGGCCUUCGGGUUGUAAAGCACUUUUGUCCGGAAAGAAAACCUUGACACUAAUACAGGCGGGGGAUGACGGUACCGGAAGAGUAAGCCCCGGCUAACUACGUG
rnacentral:rRNA from 1 species